GUUACAACAUAUCCAAGUGUUCUGAAAUACCACAUUCGAGUUUCUUCAUGGAACAAAUUUGUACGGUUUAACAGCAAAGAACUUUAGCAUGAAACCAACAGGGACUACUGUAAACCAGUACGGAAAUAGUAAUGCCAAAGCGCAGCCCCUUUAUUGUGUAGUAGUGCAUAGUUUUAACAAGAAACCGUGCAAAGUGACUCUGGCGUCUUGCAGAUGAGAUAUCAUCUGAAGGUAGGGAAGUUACUGGUAAGCCUAGGGUUCAUGAUACGUAUUAGGUUGGCUAGGCAUUAGCUGAAAACUGGAUUAGUUUAUGUAUUUUGUGCUCCCAACCUUAUUUACCCUUUGUUUAAAGGAUUAUGCAGAAUGUCGUCCAUGACCAUAGUUGUGACGCCUGCUUACGUAAAUAUUCAACCUUAUUAAUUUGAUAGCAUUUGUUUUGUGUAAUUACCGAUUUAUCGUCAGUGAAAUUAGUUUUUGUGAUAUAUUGAUUCUGCAUUAUUGGUGUUGUACAGUUUGCUUUGUAUUUUAUCCAAAUUGUAUGUCAUGAAUAAUUGCGAGGUUGUAUUGUUAUAUAUUGUGCAUGUUACAAUUUAUUGUAUCUGUUCCAUUAUAUAUUAUUAUAAUGUUAGGCCUUUGUUGUUUAAGUAUUUUUAUGUUUUAUCAUCUUUGAAAAUUAGCA